rnacentral:rRNA from 1 species
GGAGGGGGCCAGCGUUGUUCGGAAUUAUUGGGCGUAAAGGGCGCGUAGGCGGCUCAGCAAGUCGGGUGUGAAAUCCCUCGGCUUAACCGAGGAACUGCAUCCGAUACUGCCGAGCUUGAGUCCGGGAGAGGAGAGUGGAAUUCCCAGUGUAGCGGUGAAAUGCGUAGAUAUUGGGAGGAACACCGGUGGCGAAGGCGGCUCUCUGGACCGGUACUGACGCUGAGGCGCGAAAGCCAGGGGAGCAAACAGGGAUUAGAUACCCUGGUAGUCCUGGCUGUAAACGAUGGGCACUUGGUGUUGCGGGUAUCGACCCCCCCUGCAGUGCCGAAGCUAACGCAUUAAGUGCCCCCCGCCUGGGGAGUACGGUCGCAAGGCUG